GUUUUGUCUGGGGCUCGUCCUGCUACAUUUCUUGGUUCCCUGAACAGGAAGCGAGGUAACUGACGGACGGCCAAGGCAGCCCCUUGGGUGGCUUAGGCCUGCCCUGUGGAGCAUCCCUGCGGUGGACUCUGGCCAGCCUGAGUGACGCGAUCCAAAGAGCGCUCCCGGGUAGGAAAUUCCCCGGGUGGAACGCCUCGCCAGAGCAGCACGUAGCAGGCCCCCGAGGAGGAUUAACACACUGGCUGAACACUGGGAAGGAACUGGCACUUGGAGUCCGGACAUCUGAAACUUGGCUACAGCUAGAGAGUUGACUCCUCUAUUUGAGAUUGACAGGCCUCGGAAGUCAAAAUAAGUGGUUUCCUAGACCGGGUCGAGAGCAAGUCUCUAUUGGUCCCAACUGAGUUUUUUCAGCUGGUUUUUCAACCAAACAGCACCUCAUCUCCCAGUGAGGGGAAGGGAAGGCUGGGCUGAGAGCAGCAAGGCUGCUCAUCUCACCUCUCCCCACCCAGCCAUGCCAGCCGCCUCACCUGGUGGGGAGAGGUGGGCCUCACCUGGGUCCCCUGGCAGUGCUCUGUGAAGGGUCUUGACAUUGCACUGUAAUAAUAAAGGUGUGUGUGAAGUAUC
rnacentral:lncRNA from 1 species